CGAAAACAGAUCAUGCCAUCCUUAACAAUUACAAUGAUUACAUGUAGAUAUGAUUGCAAAUACAACAUAUAUGCGGUAACCGCAUCCAAUAGAACUGCAACUACCUGGCAUUUUGAAGCAUAACAAGUGAAAGUUGUCGAUGGAGGUUAAUGGAAGGAGAGUUUGUUUUGCCCGCCAAGUGGGUGUUCCCAUAGACAUAAUAAAGAGUAGACGCCGCAUUGGCUGCUGGGGCGCGAGAAAUACGGCCGCCAUGUUUGACCGGUCAUACUCCUAUUUGCGUAGCAGCAGAAGCAACGAUGCCAGAGUACUAUGGAGCAUACUCCUGCUCAUAUCGGCGGACCAUCGAAAGCAGGGCUCGGGGGAUUACUUUUCACAAGUUCAGCCAAGAUCACUUGGAGCUCCUAUUUAAUUCAAUCAGAGCAUCAGGUGCUGAGUGCUGCAGAGAGGGUGAUCCGCCAAGCUUCACCAAUGCCAGCUCCUAAGGUGUCGACAGUCACAGACAUCGUCCGGGAGGAGAUUGGAACGGAGGAUGUUUUUCUGCUUGGGGAACACAUUGAGGAGACUCAGUUUGGCAUCGACAACCAUCAUUCUGACUUGUUGUCAUUGGUUGUGUCUGUGUUUCUCAAAAUAAGGCUGCACCACAUUACCAAACUCACCUCUCUUGAACUGCAGAAAGGGAGCACGAGGAAGAACUGUCCUCUUUCAGGGGUUUUAGAGCGUGUGCAUGUGUGUGGUUCCACGACAAUUCAAGACUUUAAUCCUAAAUUCCAACAUCCCAAAACUAAUUCUAAGCUUUAUCUGUACUUUAACCUUACUCAUCACACAUAGUAUCUUUAUGUCAUAUCUGUCAUCAUUCUGACAAGAUUAACACUGAAUCUGAAAGCAAUGGCUUAAAACUGCCUGAAAACAGUGGUCUGUCACAUUUUAUGUGAAUACUGCUGUAAGUGUUGUUGGGUCUGUAAAUACCUCUGUUUGUUUGUGUUUCAUGAACUCUAGCCUCAUGGUGUGUGUCUCCAGGAAUCCAAA
ensembl:lncRNA